GGGUGGAGUAGAGUAGAGCUGGAGGAGCGUAGAGGUAAGUCUGUAGGAGGGUUGAAUGUGUAGAGUGGAGCUGGAGGAGCGUAGAGGUAAAUCUGUAGGAGGGCUGAAUGUGUAGAGUGGAGCUGGAGGAGCGUAGAGGUAAGUCUGUAGGAGGGUUGAAUGAGUAGAGUAGAGUGGAGGAGCGUAGAGGUAAGUCUGUAGGAGGGUUGAAUGAGUAGAGUAGAGUGGAGGAGCGUAGAGGUAAGUCUGUAGGAGGGUUGAAUGAGUAGAGUGGAGGAGCGUAGAGGUAAGUCUGUAGGAGGGUUGAAUGAGUAGAGUGGAGCUGGAGGAGCGUAGAGGUAAGUCUGUAGGAGGGUUGAAUGAGUAGAGUAGAGUGGAGGAGCAUAGAGGUAAGUCUGUAGGAGGGUUGAAUGAGUAGAGUAGAGUGGAGGAGCGUAGAGGUAAGUCUGUAGGAGGGUUGAAUGAGUAGAGUGGAGGAGCGUAGAGCUAAGUCUGUAGGAGGGUUGAAUGAGUAGAGUAGAGUGGAGGAGCGUAGAGGUAAGUCUGUAGGAGGGUUGAAUGAGUAGAGUAGAGUGGAGGAGCGUAGAGGUAAGUCUGUAGGAGGGUUGAAUGAGUAGAGUGGAGCUGGAGGAGCGUAGAGGUAAGUCUGUAGGAGGGUUGAAUGAGUAGAGUAGAGUGGAGGAGCGUAGAGCUAAGUCUGUAGGAGGGUUGAAUGAGUAGAGUAGAGUGGAGGAGCGUAGAGGUAAGUCUGUAGGAG